rnacentral:rRNA from 1 species
GGGCCCGCACAAGCAGCGGAGCAUGUGGUUUAAUUCGACGCAACGCGAAAAACCUUACCAGGGCUUGACAUCUCAAGGAUCCGGUGGAAACAUCGGAGUGCCCUUCGGGGAACUUGAAGACAGGUGGUGCAUGGUUGUCGUCAGCUCGUGUCGUGAGAUGUUGGGUUAAGUCCCGCAACGAGCGCAACCCUUAUGGCCAGUUGCCAGCACGCAAAGGUGGGAACUCUGGCAAGACCGCCGAGGAUAACUCGGAGGAAGGUGGGGACGACGUCAAAUCAUCAUGCUCCUUAUGUCCUGGGCUACACACGUGCUACAAUGGCCGUAACAAAGAGAAGCUACCUCGUAAGAGGACGCGGAACUCGAAAAACGGUCUCAGUUCGGAUCGUGGGCUGCAACCCGCCCACGUGAAGUUGGAGUUGCUAGUAAUCGCGAAUCAGCAUGUCGCGGUGAAUGCGUUCCCGGGCCUU